CUACGGGGUGCUGCAGUGGGGAAUAUUGCGCAAUGGGCGAAAGCCUGACGCAGCAACGCCGUGUGAGGGAUGAAGGCUUUCGGGUCGUAAACCUCUGUCGGAAGGGAAGAACGGGCAUUGGUCUAAUAGGCCUUUGUUUUGACGGUACCUUUAGAGGAAGCACCGGCUAACUCCGUGCCAGCAGCCGCGGUAAUACGGAGGGUGCAAGCGUUAUUCGGAAUUACUGGGCGUAAAGCGCACGUAGGCGGCCUUGUAAGUCAGGGGUGAAAUCCCACGGCUCAACCGUGGAACUGCCUUUGAAACUGCAGGGCUUGAAUCCUGGAGAGGGUGGCGGAAUUCCUGGUGUAGGAGUGAAAUCCGUAGAUAUCAGGAGGAACACCGGUGGCGAAGGCGGCCACCUGGACAGGUAUUGACGCUGAGGUGCGAAAGUGUGGGGAGCAAACAGGAUUAGAUACCCGCGUAGUC
rnacentral:rRNA from 1 species